UACAGAGGGUGCGAGCGUUGUUCGGAAUUACUGGGCGUAAAGCGCGCGCAGGCGGCCCUUUAAGUCUACCCGUGAAAUGCCGGAGCUCAACUCCGUGCACGCCGGGGGGAUACUGGGGGGCUGGAGACAUGUAGAGGCAAGCGGAAUUCCGGGUGUAGCGGUGAAAUGCGUAGAUAUCUGGAGGAACACCGGUGGCGAAGGCGGCAUCCUGGACCGGCAUUGACGGCUGAGG
rnacentral:rRNA from 1 species